CAGCAGCCGCCGCGGUAAUACGAAGGGGGCUAGCGUUGUUCGGAUUUACUGGGCGUAAAGGGCGCGUAGGCGGGCUGAUAAGUCAGGGGUGAAAUCCCAAGGCUCAACCUUGGAACUGCCUUUGAUACUGUUUGUCUUGAGUUCGAGAGAGGUAAGUGGAACUGCGAGUGUAGAGGUGAAAUUCGUAGAUAUUCGCAAGAACACCAGUGGCGAAGGCGGCUUACUGGCUCGAAACUGACGCUGAGGCGCGAAAGCGUGGGGAGCAAACAGGAUUAGAUACCCCCGUAGUCCCUGUCUCUUAUAC
rnacentral:rRNA from 1 species